rnacentral:rRNA from 1 species
GACGAACGCUGGCGGCGUGCUUAACACAUGCAAGUCGAACGGAAAGGCCCUUUCGGAGGUACUUGAGUGGCGAACGGGUGAGUAACACGCGGGUGAUUUGCCCUGCACUCUGGGAGAAGCCUGGGAAACUGGGUCUAAUACCGGACAGGACCGCACUCCUGCGGGUGGGGUGGAAAGGGUUUGCGGUGUGGGAUGAGCCCGCGGCCUUGCAGCUUGAUGGUGGGGUAAUGGCCUACCAAGGCCGCGACGGGUAGCCGGACUGGGAGGUUGGUCGGGCACAGUGGGGCUGGGGAUCGGCCCCGGCUCCUACGGGGGGCCGGCGUGGGGGAUAUUGCACCAUGGGCGCGAACCUGAUGCAGCGACGCCGGGGGGGGGGUGGCGGCCUUCGGGUUGUAAACUCCUUUCGGCAGGGACGAAGCGUUUUGUGACGGUACCUGGAGAAGAAGCACCGGCUAACUACGUG